rnacentral:rRNA from 1 species
ACGAGUGGCGGACGGGUGAGUAAUGUCUGGGAAACUGCCUGAUGGAGGGGGAUAACUACUGGAAACGGUAGCUAAUACCGCAUAACGUCGCAAGACCAAAGAGGGGGACCUUCGGGCCUCUUGCCAUCAGAUGUGCCCAGAUGGGAUUAGCUAGUAGGUGGGGUAACGGCUCACCUAGGCGACGAUCCCUAGCUGGUCUGAGAGGAUGACCAGCCACACUGGAACUGAGACACGGUCCAGACUCCUACGGGAGGCAGCAGUGGGGAAUAUUGCACAAUGGGCGCAAGCCUGAUGCAGCCAUGCCGCGUGUAUGAAGAAGGCCUUCGGGUUGUAAAGUACUUUCAGCGGGGAGGAAGGUGUUGUGGUUAAUAACCUCGGCAAUUGACGUUACCCGCAGAAGAAGCACCGGCUAACUCCGUGCCAGCAGCCGCGGUAAUACGGAGGGUGCAAGCGUUAAUCGGAAUUACUGGGCGUAAAGCGCACGCAGGCGGUCUGUCAAGUCGGAUGUGAAAUCCCCGGGCUCAACCUGGGAACUGCAUUCGAAACUGGCAGGCUAGAGUCUUGUAGAGGGGGGUAGAAUUCCAGGUGUAGCGGUGAAAUGCGUAGAGAUCUGGAGGAAUACCGGUGGCGAAGGCGGCCCCCUGGACAAAGACUGACGCUCAGGUGCGAAAGCGUGGGGA